rnacentral:lncRNA from 1 species
UGACAACUGCGAUGUGCCUCCGUCAGCACUCCAACCACUGGGGACGGCAUGACAGAUUAAACACCAACUAUGUGCCAGGCCAGGCCCUGUGCUAGAUGCUGGGGCAGUGACAGACCCUGAGUGGAUGGGAGGCAUCAGAGGGCAAAGAAUGAGUGGGGAGAUCUGAGAAUCGAUACUGAACAGCUUCAGUACUACGAUGUCAUAAUGGGGCUGUGAGCUCAGCCGAAAGCCCCCCGCCCAGUUUUUUUUGGAAGUGGUCAUAGAAUCUCUCUGGAGAAACAACAUGGAAAUGGAGACCAAAAGAGGGAAGGAGGGAUGCCACCAGAUGACACUGGGAUCCCGGAAGACGGAACACUGUGUGCAACGGGCAAAGAACUUUUCAAAAGGGAUUUCAACCUCUGACCACCUGGAGACAGGCGACUGGCGCUCAUUGUAAAUGCACCGACAUGACAGGGAACAGCUGCUGGGGAGGUGGAGACGGGUGCCGGGAGAGACAGGAAACCCCAGAGGCUUGGAAAUCCAGGAGCCACAGGAAGCAGUGAGCUUUCUGCGGAGCCGGAUCCGGUGGAGCCAAUUCACCAGCAGGUCCCGGCAGCAACUCUUCUACAACAGAUUCCUGCCCGUCCCUGUGCCCCAUCGCCCCCCUGCCGUCAAUCUCCACCUCAAGGGAGCCAGACCAAGCCUUUCUGUGUGUAGCGCACAUCUCUCCUGCGUAGAGCUCACCUAGUGGCUUCCAUAGCUUUUUUUUUUUUUUUUU